rnacentral:sRNA from 1 species
GUUAAUUAUUAUACUUCACCUCUCAUCUUUAUAUGAUUCUAUUUUUGCGAAAGAAAUAAUAUCAUCAUAUCAUCGGUAUAAAAAAAAAUAAUUAGAGUGUUUUCGCAUCUGCUAUGAUUUGAAUUUUUAAAAACGAAUAUAAACUGUUCAAUACAUGAAAAAAAAUAUAACGGCUCAAAAAUAUAUUUAAGAAAACUUUCGACUGAGUAACGGGUCAUAAUUUGAAUAUUUAUAUUCAAUUUCAUACAUAUUAUUUUGAAAAUUUAUAAUCUUAUAUACUACAAUAAUUAAUAACAUAUUAGAUUUUUUUUAUGUGUAUGAUGUGAUUCAAUUUUUAAUACAAGCGGGAGAAUCCUAGAAUUGACGGGUUUAGAUCGAUAUUAAUACAAAAUGGUAUACUACAAAUACAAUUCUAAAAUUAACAAUCGAAAUACAAGUGUAUAAUCUUAAACACUAAACAAUAUAAAUAAUAUCAACAAAACAUAUACAUCUUGCAGUGUACUAUACAUUUAAAAUCAAAUAAAAUAAUAUCAUAUAUUUACAAAUCAUCUUUACAAAAAACGUUUUUAGUUUAAUUAAAAUAUAAGCCUACCCGAAGUAUACCGCGGGUUAAUAUCUAGGUAGUACUAUAUUAGUAUAGAACCAAGCUCUUUUGCAAUUGCAAGGGAUAUGUAACAAUAAGUCUUGGGAGCCGAAAGAUCAGAAGAUAGUGAAAUCAU